GACGAACGCUGGCGGCGUGCCUAAUACAUGCAAGUAGGACGCAGUUGCGAACGGGUGAGUAAAGCGUAGGUAAACUGCCUAUAAGAGGGGGAGAACAAUUGGAAACGAUAGCUAAUACAGCAUACUCGUAGAUGGACCUGCGUUGUAUUAGCGAGUAGGUAGGGUAAUGGCCUACCUAGGAAACGAUACAUAGCCGACCUGAGAGGAUGAUCAGCCACACUGGGACUGAGACACGGCCCAGACUCCUACGGGAGGCAGCAUUGGGGAAUAUUGAACAAUGGGCGCAAGCCUGAUGCAGCCAUGCCGCGUGUAUGAAGAAGGCCUUCGGGUUGUAAAGUACUUUCAGUCGGGAGGCGUUACCGACAGAAUAAGCACCGGCUAACUCCGUGCCAGCAGCCGCGGUAAUAC
rnacentral:rRNA from 1 species